rnacentral:rRNA from 1 species
UGCGUAGGCGGCUUUUUAAGUCGGAUGUGAAAUCCCUGAGCUUAACUUAGGAAUUGCAUUCGAUACUGGGAAGCUAGAGUAUGGGAGAGGAUGGUAGAAUUCCAGGUGUAGCGGUGAAAUGCGUAGAGAUCUGGAGGAAUACCGAUGGCGAAGGCAGCCAUCUGGCCUAAUACUGACGCUGAGGAGCGAAAGCAUGGGGAGCGAACA